UACGUAGGGUGCAAGCGUUGUCCGGAAUGAUUGGGCGUAAAGAGCUCGUAGGCGGUUUGUCGCGUCUGCUGUGAAAACCCGAGGCUCAACCUCGGGCCUGCAGUGGGUACGGGCAGACUAGAGUGCGGUAGGGGAGAGUGGAAUUCCUGGUGUAGCGGUGGAAUGCGCAGAUAUCAGGAGGAACACCGAUGGCGAAGGCAGAUCCCUGGGCCGUAACUGACGCUGAGGAGCGAAAGCAUGGGGAGCGAACAGG
rnacentral:rRNA from 1 species